UUUUUUUUUUUUUUGAAAAGAAACAAAACAAAAAGAGUGUAUUUCAAGAGUCAUAUGAGGAAGUGUGCUCCUAGUUAAACAGCUGAAGCAGUCAUCUGUGUGGGCUCCUUGUUCAUAUGACUGUAGGAACUAUUUCUACAGUUUGCGUUUCACUAAAAUGAUAAACUGACGUUCACUUGCCUGAGUGAUCCAAGAUGCAACAGAACAGCCUUUCACCCAUCUGCAUGUUAAAAAAACUUAAUUUCCUGCUCUCAAAGCUGCCAUAAAACUUCUUUUGCUCCAUGCUUUUUAUUGUUCUGCAUUCUUGAUCACAGAGCCCAGGAAAGAAAAGCAUUUAACAGCCCCAAACCCCAGAUACUGUGAUUUAUGCUUUUGUGUAAAUAUAGCUUAAUGUGGAUCAAAGUUCACACUGAUAGUUCUUAUUUUAAAACUGAGCUGACAAAUGAACAAAGGGGUUCUGAGAGAGGAAAUUUAAGGGGGGAAGAAACAAUGCUACCUAGUAGUCUUUAUUACAACUAAAAGACUGUCUGAGAUUAGAAUCACUUUCCAGAAUUAAAAAUAAAGAGCAAAGAAAAUUAUAAACCAGUGGUUUUUUUUUGCAAACUUUCCAGCUUCUUAAUUUGUAUAGUUAGUUGUAAACUGACUGCCAUUCGAUGUCAUAUGUAUAAAUUGAAAAAAAAAAAUAGAACAUUAUUCUGAAAAUAUUCUUCACAUCACCUGAUCAACAACCUACAUUAAUACCAAGUGAACAAAUGUAGCUUGAAUAGGAUGCAUAGGAAAAUGAAAUAAAAUUAGAGAUGAGUCUUACAGCGUAUCAAUUCUCUGAUUUGGAGGUAAGAAAACAAUGGAGCAAUGAGAGUUAUGGUGGCAAGACAUACUAACACUAGGAUUGGCGCCAACUCUGAUAUUAACUAGCUUAUGACCCUGGAGAGUCAUUCAGCCUCUCUGAGGCCCACUUUCCUCAACUAGAAAACACAUUCCUGGCCAGGUGCAGUGGCUCACACCUGUAAUCCCAGCAUUGUGGGAGCUCCAAGAAGGAGUAUCACUUGAGGCUGGGAGUUGGAGACCAGCCUGAGCAACACAGCAAGACCCCCAUCCCUAUAAAAAAGAAUUUAAACAUUAGCCAGGCACGGUGGCAUGCGAGUAGUCCCACAUACUCGAGAGGCUGAGGUGGGAGGAUCAACUGAGCCCAAGAAUUCAAGGCAGCAGUGAGCUAUGAUCAUGCCAUGGCACUACAGCCUGGACAACAAAGCAAGCCCCUGUCUCUCAAAAACAACAACAAAUGCAUUCUUCAGCCGCCUAAUACUGAUGACAAAUCCUAUCACAACAGAGCUUCUAGACUAAAUCCUUAUUUCUACAUAACUCCACCUAUAGAUAUAUUUGCAUGCAGAAACACACACACACACACACACACACACACACAUCUCUCUCUCUCUCUCUCAUAUUUAUGUAAUUUCUAAGUUCAAAUUUCUAUGGAAUCUGGAUGCCUUGAGGGGAGAAGCCAGAGUACUCUGGGCCUACUUCUAAGUUAAUUGUGUUUGUUUCCAUUAACACAAUUCAAAUGUAACAUGAAAGUUCCAUUGAUAUUUAUAGCAAGAACUUUUGAGCCCAGUUCAACAUGUUUUAAAAUGAGAAAGCUAAGGUUCAGAGAGUUUGACUAUAAAUAUAUACUUAAUCAUAAAUAGUACCCUGACGUGAUAAUAGUCUUUAGACUAUUUAAGGCUUUUAAGGCUUAAACCCGAUAGUUACUAUUGGUUUGAGGUUCACAUCUUUGACUUGCACAAGUGAAUUUCUUCGUUUUUCCACUGUAGUAUCGGCUUCUUAUGGUGGCUCAGAACUGCCACUCCCAUAGGUACCAGACCAGCACUACCAGUGAGAGGAGAACCAAAUGAUAGGAGAAUCGCACUUUCUCCCCAUUCACUGUGAGAUGUCGGCAUUGGGGAGGAGGUGGAGUGCAAAGUCUCCCCAUGUGGUCUACCAGAGGCCCCUCUUCCUUAGAGGUCGCCAACAAGAACAGGAUUUGCAGGUGGGGAUUACAGCAACUCCCAGAGGUGUUUUUAUUUGGCAGGUAUGUUACUUUUUAAAGCAUUCCAGUUUUUUUUUUUUUUAGCAGCGCUUUAAUAAAUUAGGAAAGAAUUUAAAUUUCUCCUAUCUCAUAAAAUAAUAAUUGGAUAAUGUGCUCUCCUGGACCCACAUUCCUCAUGGCAUCAACUGACAGGACUGAGCUUCACUGCAGCUUUGCCACGUGACUUGCCCGACCAGAGAAGGCUGGAGUUUGUGCUUCCACCCUCUCCCUGAAACAAUCACAGAAUGUCGCCUAGCCCAACCUACGCAGUCGAGAGAAAACUGUGGCCUAUAUUUGUACAAGUGUAAUAAGCUAUCUCUAGUGGCAGCCCAGGUACAUAUAAAACGAUGGCAUCCCACAAGCAGAAAAUUGACAGAGUUCAACAUACACUGGGAAACAGAAGAAGGGUGGAAGGGAAGUAAUUCAAAGAGUGUGGCCAAUUCUUUCUGCUAGGUAAUGCAUCAGCGGGAGCUGUUUCCCCCAAAAGGUUUCGGUUCUCUUGUGUAUCUCAGUGUCAAACAUGAAGUCACAUGUAUCAUAUGUAAAGCAGGAUUUUAAAGCAUUUUCAGUAGUUAUUUUUGCCUUAUACAAAAGAUCAACUCCACUGCACCCUGGUUUCUCAGGUCGCUGAUCCAUACACUGAACCAUAAUUUCUUCAGCCAAUGAAGGUCGUUAAGGCAGAGGGUGGCAACGGUUUCUACAAGGACUCCCUCCAGUGAGGAGGCAGCAUACCAGGCCUUGAACCUCCAGUUCCGCUAGCAGACCCUGUCAGUACUUGCUGUGUGGAACCCUGAGCAAGUUACAGGGCUUCUCUUCUCUAAGACUCAGUGUCUAGUUCUAAGAAAUGGGAGUAAUAAUAACAAUUACCCCCACAAGCGUUGCAGUGAAGACUCAGUGAGAUAAUCCAUGCAAAGUGAAUGCUCAGCAUAGUGCUUAGCUCAGUAAACACUGGCUUAAAAGUCCCUGGUCUGAUAUUACAGUUCCUUAACCCUGCACCCAACCUUCCAAAGCUCUUUUUCAUAUCCUACUAUAUUUAACAUAAAUCUAUAAUCCCCUCCAAAUGCAUGGUUAAGUGCGGUUAAAGUAUGUUAAAAAUAUAAGAAAGGGGGCUUAACCUUGAGAAGCUCAGCCUGGGGAAAUACUGCUUCUUUCAUACACUGACAUCUGGCAGCAGUCAACUGGCUUAACUCACCCCCAUUUUACAAUUUUAUGGCAAUGAUGGGAUCACCAUGAAGGCCCUGAUGAGUCCCGUACUACUACAGAAUCUCCUCCUCCUAAUCUCUAGUUGCAGCUUUUUUUUCAUGCACUGCUGCCCUAACAGUCAGCUCACCUCAACUCUUAUCACAUAUCCACCGAAUAAUUACUACACAUCUGCCGUGUGCCAGGCACCGUGCAACCUGCUAGAACAAGAGUGGCCCAAACAGACCAGGUCCCUGCCCUUGUGGACUGACUGUGUAGUGGGCAAGACUGUGACACUAGUCAGAUAAUAUACAAAUAUAGCAAAAUUACAAGGAUAAUUGUAGAACUACAACCAAAGGACCUUUCAUGCCGGCCUGAGAGCAAAAAGUAGGGUGUUAAUGGAAGACAGGGUGGGGCAGGGAUCUGUCUUCAUUGGGAGUUGGAAUCCAGCUCUACUGUUAGCUUCAAAACCUUAAGCAAGUAGUUUGAUCACUCUGGGGAAUCAGUGCCUUCAUCUGUAAAACGGAAAUAACAUCUGGCUCAUGUGACUACUACAGAAGAUCAUACAAAUAACUUUAGCUGAGGGCCUGGUAGAAGGUAGCACUCAAUAAACAGGGGCUAUUGCUAUUGUCAAUAUUAGUAUCAUUAUUACAAAUAUAUCUGAGACCUGAAAUCGAUAGGUGGUUUGGCCCUAUGGGACCAAAUGCUAGUAUUUGCUACAUUCAAAGGCAAUUCACAAGAGGCAACUACAAAUCGCUUUGUGAGGGGAGAAACACUAAUAUAGUUCUAAUCAGAUGCUCCUCAUUUAAAAAUCAGUGGGGGAUUAUUAGUCUAAUAAUACUAAUAACUGGAAUAAAAUAUCAGAAUAGAGAACUGGCCUGUUUUAGCAAUGGUUUCUUUGUCAAAGCUCUUUUCUGUCAUCUUGAUAGGACACUGAUGUAACCUAUUAGAGCCCAAAAAAAGAGGAAAGCAGGAAAGCAGCUAUCUCCACUGGAAAAAAAAGACCCAUAAGUCUAACAGCUGGUGGUGGCAGCCUGUCAAACUGAGGAAAGUUAAUGUCAAGAACAGACGCGCGGCAGUCUCUCACUGUUAUUUUUGCAUGAUUAUUCCCAGGUGUUGGUGCAUGCUGAGCAGUAGCCUGGCUAUUUAUCACGCGAGAGAGCCUAAGAGCAUGGGAGGGGGGAGCGGGGAGGCUGAAGGGAGGCAGGGAAGAAAAGGUUAUUUACACAGAUAGCGGCACUUAGUGUGUGUAAUCAGAGGGCUGGGUUGGGGGCGGGCAAUCUGCAGGGAAACCCUGGCAAUAUUUUCUCUGUUCACCUUCUUUCAAGGGCUUCCUAAGUGCUGAUGGGCAAGGAAGGAUCCAAAGCUGGAGUGUUGGUGGGGACAGCUUUUCAUCACUGGGGCAUUUCACUGUGUUGGUCAGUGAUGCUUUCAGGACCAGGAAACCGACAGCCAGUGAGGAUAGGUGGCCAGGGUAGGGCUGGAGGUGCUCCCUCGAGCACUCCUGCUCCACCCAGACCCAACAAAGAGACAUUCAGGUGGCUCUGCUGCCAGGUAGAAGGAGAAGGCAAAACCCAGGACUGCCAAGAAGCAAGCCACCAGAAGGCAGAGAGAUUCCCUCCUUUACCUGGGAUCAGGUCUAAACCCUGACAGGGAAGCUUGCCACAGCUUUCUCACAUCUGUUGCCAAAAAUAUCCACACCGAUCCUGCAGUUAACCCCUCAAUCCCGGGAUCACCAACAACCAGAGGGGGAAUGGUGUUUUACUUUGCUCGGAGCCAAUAUUUUUAUAGUCUAUGAGAAUGCUGGGGCACAAUUACUUAAUGCUCACGUUUUCUCCAUAUCCUGGUAUUGGGCUGUUUUAUGAGAUUGCCCAUAGUCACCUCUUCAUUUAAAAAGCAUUAGAAAGAGACUCCACUACUAUGGAGGGGAAAUCACAGCUCUUUAGAGGUGACCACUGCUGCAGUCUCUUACUUUGCAUUUUAAACACCCUUUUUCUGCCUGACGUCACUGCUUCAUUAGCAAAGCAGGGGAAGCUUAAAAAACCAUUUCCUUAAAUUAGGCACUGAUCUUUUCUCCAAAACUAAUCAUCAAGGCUGAAUUUCCAUCCCUAAAGGACAAACCUGUAACAACAGAAUUUUGGUCAUUUCUAAUUCCACCUUUCGUAAAUGCGAUGGAGACAACUCUUCCUUUCAGAACCAUGAUCAAAGCAAUUUACGCUUUGCAGCUUGCUGAGAAAACAACAUGGGCAAAUUCUCACAAAGGGUCUAAGGUAUGAAGACCAACCCUGCCCUCAAGUGCUGUUCAGGCUUAGCAGCUGAUCUGGUAGGACUUGGCCUGGGGAUGGACCAGGGCUCUGGGCCCAAGGCCAGUGGGGCCAAGAUGGAUGCUUCCACCUCCAGCCAGAACCCCAACCAUGCCAAAAUUCCAGAAUGCCAAAUAUCCGAGGCCCGGUGCAGUGGCUCACACCUGUAAUCCCAGUACUUUGGGAGGCCGAGGCGGGUAGCCUGGGCAAUAGAGAGAGACUCUGUCUCAAAAAAAAAAAAAAAAUCUGGGGUCUGCAUGGCACUGCUUUGGCGUGGAGAGGAAAGGGGGUCAUUGACUGUUCAUGUCUGACUGCCAGAAGGAUCCCUAUAUGCAGGUCACAAAGCAAGAGAAUGUACACAGCUACAUGUGUAAAAUAUGCUUUAAAAAGCAGUGACUAUUUUUAACUUCAUUCUCUAGCCAUGACAGUUUUCAAAGCAAAACAGAAGGUACUCAGUAUGUAAAGAUGGAAUAUAAUUAAACUACUCUACUCAAUGUCUUAAAUUUCUUUUGUUACGAAGCCAAAUUAAAUUCCUCCCUCAAAGGCCUUGAACUGUGUAGAGUUCCAUAGCUAAGCGAUAUUGGUGGAGGCAGAGCAGACACAGGGACUCUUUUCUACCACACCACAUCAGUUGUCACAUACUUAGCCUCAGUUGUGUUCUUUGAAAACCUGUCCUACUGCUGAGCCACAGAUACUUAAUCUGUUUCAAAAGUGCCGCUGACAUCUUUCACUGCUCAGAGAGCUGUGUGUGCUUUAAAUAGUAGCAGUAAAUGAUCAGUGUUUUCAUAUCUUGUUCAUAAGAGUUCUCUGAUUUCCUCUCAUCCUAUUUCCAAAGACACUUAAAGCACAAAAAUGAGCCACAAAGAAAGGAGACCAUCGUAAAGGUACUAAAAAAGCCUGUGUUCUUGGAUUAAUCCUUUGCACAAGGCCCUUUGUACAAAGCUGAAUUCCUGAAAUUCCCAAUCCCUUAAGAGUGAAAGUUUUUAA